rnacentral:rRNA from 1 species
UACGUAGGGCGCGAGCGUUGUCCGGAAUUAUUGGGCGUAAAGAGCUUGUAGGCGGUUUGUCGCGUCUGCCGUGAAAAUUCGAGGCUCAACCUCGAACUUGCGGUGGGUACGGGCAGACUAGAGUGUGGUAGGGGAGACUGGAAUUCCUGGUGUAGCGGUGAAAUGCGCAGAUAUCAGGAGGAACACCGAUGGCGAAGGCAGGUCUCUGGGCCACUACUGACGCUGAGAAGCGAAAGCAUGGGGAGCGAACAGG